UUCGGUUUUAUUUACCUUUGUUAGGUCAUUAGAGGUGAGACAUUAUCACUGCAGAUUCUCGCUCUCUGACUUUUAUAUUAUGGAUAUUUUUCGACGGGCACGCCAUAGACGACACC